rnacentral:tRNA from 4 species
GAGCCUGUAGCUCAGCUGGAUAGAGCAUCAGUUUGCGGAACUGAGGGUCGGAGGUUCGAAUCCUUUCAGGCUCG